rnacentral:rRNA from 1 species
UCGCGAUAGCUUGCUAUAGCGGAUGGCGACCGGCGCACGGGUGAGUAACACGUAUCCAACCUGCCGUCUACUCUUGGCCAGCCUUCUGAAAGGAAGAUUAAUCCAGGAUGGGAUCAUGAGUUCGCAUGUUCACAUGAUUAAAGGUAUUCCGGUAGACGAUGGGGAUGCGUUCCAUUAGAUAGUAGGCGGGGUAACGGCCCACCAAGGCAACGAUCAGUAGGGGUUCUGAGAGGAAGGUCCCCACAUUGGAACUGAGACACGGUCCAAACUCC